GUACCCCUCCCCCCCAAAGGUGCGGACUCCCGGCCGCACACCUAAACCUAUAGGGGAGGGUCUGGGUGGGCGUCUGUCCAUGGUGGCGGCUCUGGCGCUGGACAUGUACCCCACUCCACCAUAGUUUUAGUCUGCUUUUGUGGUCUCCCAGGAACGGCGACCCUCGCCACCAACCUAGGACUGACAACCCUACUAAAGGGCCCCACCGGACUGAGGGGCAGCUGCGGACUGAGGGGCAGCUGCGGACUGAGGGGCAGCUCCUGACUGGCUGACGACUCUGGCGGCUCUGGCGGCUCCUUGCAGACUGGCAGCUCCUUGCAGACUGGUGGCUCUGGCGGCUCCUUGCAGACUGGCGGCUUUGGCGGCUCGGAACAGACUGGAGACUCUGGCGGCUCAGGACAGGAGGAAAGCCCUGGCGGCGCUGAACAGACGAGGCGCACUGUAGGCCUGGUGCGUGGUGCCGGCACUGGUGGUACUGGGCCGAGGACACGCACCUCAGUGCGAGGAGGAGGAACAGGGAGUACUGGCCUCUACGCGCACAGGAAGCCUGGUGUGAGGGGCUGCCACCGGAGGGCUGGUGCGUGGAGAUGGCACCGGAUAGACCGGCCCAAGAAGGCGUACUGGAGGUCUCGAGCACAGAGCCUGCCCAACCUUACCUGCUUGAAUGCUCCCCGUAGCCCGCCCAGUGCGGCAAAGGUGGAAUAGCCUGCACUGGGCUGUGCAGGCGAACCGGGGACACCCUGCGUAAGGCUGGUGCCAUGUAUGCUGGCCCAAGGAGACGCACUGGAGACCAGAUGCGUAGAGCCGGCUUCAUGGCACCUGGCUUGAUGCUCAACCUAGCCUGGCCGAUACGAGGAGCUGGAAUGUACCUCACCGGGCUAAGCACGCUCCACCACAUAACACGGUGCCUGACCAGUACGACGCCCUUUCUCACUCCGGUAAGCACGGGAAGCUGGUGCAGGACUCCUACCUGCCUUAGCCACACUCCCCGUGUGCCCUCCCCCAAAACCCUCCCCCAAUACAUUUUUGGGGCUGCCUCUCGGGCUUCCUACCGCGCCGCCGUGCUGACUCCAUUCGCCGGUAUCCCUCCUCACACUGCUCCAGAGAAUCCCAGGCGGGCUCUGUUACUCUCCCUUGGUCGGCAGCCCACCUGUUAAUCUCCUCCCAAGUAGUGACCUCGUCCAGAUCUCGCUCCCAAGUCCAUAAGUCCUGAUUACGCUGCUCCUGCUGCCGCUGCCUGUCACCACGCUGCUUGGACCUGUUGUGGUGGGUGAUUCUGUCACGAUCGUCGUAAGAAGCGGACCAAAAUGCAACGUGGUAUGUGUUCAUGAUGAUACUUUUAAUUAAAGAAAGCACUGAACACUGAAUACAAAACAAUAAACGAAUAACGACCGUGAAGCUAUAAUAAGAACUGUGCUGACACAAGCAACUAACAUAGACAAUCACCCACAAAAUACCCACAGAAUAUGGCUGCCUAAAUAUGGUUCCCAAUCAGAGAUAACGAUAGACAGCUGCCUCUAAUUGAGAACCAAUCUAGGCAACCAUAGACAUACAAUUUACCUAGAAAGGAAACAGCCCCAUAAACAUACAAGAUAAAAACAAAUACAUCACCCACCCACCCUGACCUAACCAAAAUAACAAGGAAAACAAAGAAUACUAAGGUCAGGGUGUGACACAUUUAAUACUAUUUUAUGUUUAUUCAGAAAAAAAUAUACAUGUAGUGAGUGAUGUCUUAUGUUUGUAUUGUAUUGUAAUUUGAAAUGUUAUAUAAAAAAUACAUUUUAAAAAUGUAUCAACUCGGGGCUCUAUGCCUUCUCUGGAAAGUAAUACAACUCUGUGCAAGGUUAGUUCCACUCCUCUAGCACGUCGUGGAACACCCCUUCCACGUCAUUCAUUAUUUUCCAUGGAACGCAUAGCCCCUCGUUGAUUAUCCCUAAGAUAGUAAGUCAUUAUUUAUGAGCUAGUAAGCCUGGAUCAUGGACAUUGAAUAGUCCUGCAGGUCGACCCCUUUUAACCCCCUAAGGUUGAUGUCUGCGCCCGUCUGGAAAUCGAAUUAGCAUAAUAAAAAUCUGUCAGUUUAAGCUAGAGAUAUCUGUUUUGAAUUGGAUAGGUUUCAAUCCACGGCAUAUACCUAUAUACCUAUGUGAAAGGUGACAGAGCUAGAGCUAUGUUUGUCGGUUUUAGUUGAAAAAAUGUAUGGAGGUACAGUAUAUGGAGACUGUUUAAUGCCAAAAAUAUGGGGUUAAAAACAUGUAAGAAGAAAAAUAAUUAUCCUGACCUUUCUUAUCACUCAGAUAUACUCUAAAACUUCCUUUUUACAUUUGUAGGGACUAUCUGUUCCAUGUAGUGAAUCUGUUAUUCAGUUCGUUUGUAUGGACUAAUGGCAGUAAGGCCUACAAUUAUAUAAAAAAAGAGGAACAAAUACAGUACCAGUCAAAAAUUUGGACACCUACUCAUUCAAGGGGUUUUCUUUAUUUUUACUAUUUUCUACAUUGUAGAAUAAUAGUGAAGGCACAAACUAUGAACAAAUCAAAAUAUAUUUGAGAUUCUUCAAAGUAGCCACCCUUUGCCUUGAUGACAACUUUGCACACUCUUACGGUGCAUGUACACUAGAUAGCGGUAAAUUGCCACGUGCCGCUUAGGCCUCCCGCAUAUGGCAGCAUGUUAGAUUUUGCGUCAAUAAUUCAGCAUAGCAUUUUUGUUUGAAGGCCGGAUUAUUAAAUGGGUACAUAGUUCAAUAGUAAUAUCCUCUAAAACGCUCUGGUGACACAACUUUGCUGCCCUGUUUCCGAUCGUCCACAUGGCUGGGAGAACCUAUUCAAGUAAGUAAAUAUAUUUUGAAAAUGUAACAAUGAACAAUGUAUUAUUAACUAACUAGCUACAGUGCAGGCUAACUCAAAUGAGCUGCUAAAUGUGCUAGCUAGUUGGCUAGCUAUCUACCUAGCCAACUUCACAUACUGUAUAGAUAGCUAAGUGAAUGAAAUGUCACCAUAUUAGCUAGCUAUAUGCAUUUGUAGGUAGCUAGCUAACGGCCAUGGAGGAGGGUGAAAGGAUAGCCGCCCCAACUUUCAGUGAGAGAGUAGGCUAUUCUGGAUAGGGCAGGUACUUUUGUGUUGUUCCUGUCGCUAGAAGUGAGGACGGAGAUAAUAGUAACAUAAUAUUCAGUGCGGUGUAAUAUGACUAUAAUGAAGUCUGUUUCUUGUGAGGUUUUCUGUCCUCAGAUACAGAGAGCUGUGAAAGCCUGUCUCCAGAUGAAGAGGUCCCAAUGAAGAGCAGUGGUUCUCAGUCCUGGUCCAGGAGACUCAAAGAGUUAACGUGUAGGCCACUGCAAGGUUGGGUGACCAGGGUCAUCUGGGACUGCCUCCUGGAGGAAUUCAGGUGUGUGAAGACUACCAGUGUCCUGCAUAACUUCAUGAGGAUGGACACGAGGACCAGGAGGGGGGAUCUGCAGCUAUGUGCCAGAGGAGAAGUCUGCUGCUCUGCAGGAUGUUUCAAUCAAUCAAAUUUCAAUCAAAUUUAUUUAUGCAGCCCUUCUUACAUCACCUGAUGUCACAAAGUGCUGUACAGAAACCCAGCCUAAAACCCCAAGCAAUGCAGGUGUAGAAGCACGGUGGCUAGGAAAAACUCCCUAGAAAGGCCAAAACCUAGGAAGAAACCUAGAGAGGAACCAGGCUAUGAGGGGUGGCCUGUCCUCUUCUGGCUGUGCCGGGUGGAGAUUAUAACAGAACAUGGCCAAGAUGUUCAAAUGUUCAUAAAUGACCAGCAUGGUCAAAUAAUAAUAAGGCAGAACAGUUGAAACUGGAGCAGCAGCACGGCCAGGUGGACUGGGGACAGCAAGGAGUCAUCAUGUCAGGUAGUCCUGGGGCAUGGUCCUAGGGCUCAGGUCCUCCGAGAGAGAGAGAGAAGGAGAGAAUUAGAGAACGCACACUUAGAUUCACACAGGACACCGAAUAGGACAGGAAAAGUUCUCCAGAUAUAACAAACUGACCCUAGCCCCCCUACACAUAAACUACUGCAGCAUAAAUACUGGAGGCUGAGAUAGGGAGGAACAAGCCCAUGUAAAUGCUUUGUAGGUUAGCAGUAAAUCCUUGAAAACAUUCCUUGCCUUAACAGGAAGCCAGUGUAGAGAGGCUAGCACUCAAGUAAUAUGAUCACAUUUUUUGGUUCUAGUCAAAAUUUUAGGACUAGCUGAAGUUUAUUUAGUGCUUUAUCCGGGUAGCCGGGAAGUAGAGCAUUGCAGUAGUCUAACCUAGAAGUAACAAUGGAUGAGGUCCAACAAGGAUGGUGUCAAGGAUGGGGUCCAACAACGCAGCAAGACAGUCAAUCUGUGUGUGGGAGAUCUUCACCUCCUACUUCUUCGAAGAGGGUGCUGUUCCCUGGCAACACCAUAGACUACACUAUGCACAAUACGAGUAUUAUUCCAUUUACCUAGCUAUGUCAACUGCAGUUAUUCAAUUCCCAGUUUCUCUCCCUUUGAUUUCUACUUCUCAGGUGAGGGUGCUGUUUAGGUAAGGGUGUGAUGUCUGUACAAAAACAAAACACGCUAUUUUAAAUCACCCAUAUGUUACGUUCCCCAGUUUCUGUGUUGUGGUUUGUGUAUUUGCAUGUAUGUAUUUCAGGAAAUGGCUUCCUGAAAUUCUCCCCAAGCAGCUGUCUUCAAUUACCAACUCCUUCUGAAGCUAUAUAAACCAGUGUUCUGUUGCUCAGAAGGGAGAUGAUUGCUGAGAGAGGCUGAUGGCUGAGGGUUAUAUCAUAUGUUGGUUGUUGCUGAGAGUGAGACAUACCAAAACUGCAUAUGUUAGUUGUUGCUCAGUCAGAGAGCGCUUAUUUGAUGUCCUGUGUUUCUCAGUUUUUUUUUAGAAGUUGUUUGUAAUAUUCUGUUUAAUUUGUUCCCAGGGGGGAAGGGGAAGGCACCUAGGGAGUGCUUAGGCAAGACUCCCACAGGCAUACAUAGACCCGUAGUAUAUACUCUGUCUAUGCACACUAGGUAAGACCUGGGCGGACCACCCCCUGUAUUUUGGUUAGCGCACCAGGUGGUGCUAAGUCAGAUAAGUAGUGGUUAGGCAGGUAAGAUAGGAGGGGGGGGGCUUUGACAUUUGCUUUCUUUGCUUUGGUUCCAUCCAGCCCCUUUUCCCCAUAUUACCGUGUUAAGGAAUAAAUUCCUAGUAAACGGUAAAUUCUCUGCCUUUUGUCAUCCUUACUCGCACCUACAGUCCCAUACCUCUUUCACUCCACGGGGA
ensembl:lncRNA